CUUAUUUCCUAUCCUAAAAAAGCUCUUUGGAAGAAAGAUCUCAGCGUAAGAACCGCUUGAAAGUUCCAAUAUGUUAGAAGUGGGAAAGCUCCGCUAUUUAUUAAUGUUAAAUGUGCCGCCUGCCUGAACCAUUCUGCUUGUAUUCUGGAAGCCGUACAGGAAAGUACCCACACCUUGUUGCUUGGAACCCUGCUGCUUAAGGCUUUAAGGUUCCAGCAUUAUAAAGCACAUAAAUGAAGCCAGAACAGAAUUUAUGAUUUUCCCUGGCCACAAACUACUCCAUUCUGAGACCAUUUCUCUGCCAAAACUCUCAUGAGGACAAGGUAUACCCUGUCUCUAAGAAAGCAGCAUACUUAUUCCCCAUGGUGUGCUGGUGGAUUUUGACCAACACAGCAAGAAGGAGAACUGAGGAAAACCAUCACACAUCAUUUGUUUGUUUCUAUAGUGUACCCUGAGCAUUAAUCCUCAUACCAUCAACUCACAUAGGCUUAGGGUAUCAGACAGACUGGAACUCAGAAAUUGGUAGAAUGAACUGUCAA